AAGCUAGAUUUGAAACUUCCGCCUACAUGAUGGUGUAUGUGAGGGUGCUCACCAAGUUAGCUAGCUCUCAACCCCGGCCUAUGACAUACCAAUUCCUUGCUGCAGCAGUUCAAAUUAUUUUCACAUAAUGAUUCAGCUGCGAUCAGUUUUGACAAUAUUGAUGAAAUUUGAUUAUUACGUGUAGUAGAAGUUCGCCAUGAAGAAACAGAUUUAAACUAUUGCUGAACAUUUGGAUUCAGUUGAUUCCGCGAACAAAUAGAUUACGUUUUACGUUUGAUUAUGUAUCUUAAUGUAAGAUCUUGAACUAUUUU
rnacentral:misc_RNA from 1 species